UUCGGACGGGGUUGGUAACGCGUGAGAAUCUAGCUUCAGGUCGGGGACAACCACUGGAAACGGUGGCUAAUACCGGAUGUGCCGAAAGUGAAAGAUUUAUUGCCUGAAGAUGAGCUCGCGUCUGAUUAGCUAGUUGGUGUGGUAAGAGCGCACCAAGGCGACGAUCAGUAGCUGGUCUGAGAGGAUGAUCAGCCACACUGGGACUGAGACACGGCCCAGACUCCUACGGGAGGCAGCAGUGGGGAAUUUUCCGCAAUGGGCGAAAGCCUGACGGAGCAAUACCGCGUGAGGGAGGAAGGCUCUUGGUUGUAAACCUCUUUUCUCAGGGAAUAAAAAAAUGAAGGUACCUGAGGAAUAAGCAUCGGCUAACUCCGUGCCAGCAGCCGCGGUAAUACGGAGGAUGCAAGCGUUAUCCGGAAUGAUUGGGCGUAAAGCGUCCGCAGGUGGCACUGUAAGUCUGCUGUUAAAGAGCAAGGCUCAACCUUGUAAAGGCAGUGGAAACUACAGAGCUAGAGUACGUUCGGGGCAGAGGGAAUUCCUGGUGUAGCGGUGAAAUGCGUAGAGAUCAGGAAGAACACCGGUGGCGAAAGCGCUCUGCUAGGCCGUAACUGACACUGAGGACGAAGCUACGGGAGCUAAUGCGAUUAGAGACCCAGGUAUUUCCACCCCGUUACCACCCCGUUC
rnacentral:rRNA from 1 species